rnacentral:rRNA from 1 species
UCUUCGGAGAGUUUGAUCCUGGCUCAGGAUGAACGCUGGCGGCGUGCCUAAUACAUGCAAGUCGAGCGAACUGAUUAGAAGCUUGCUUCUAUGACGUUAGCGGCGGACGGGUGAGUAACACGUGGGCAACCUGCCUGUAAGACUGGGAUAACUUCGGGAAACCGAAGCUAAUACCGGAUAGGAUCUUCUCCUUCAUGGGAGAUGAUUGAAAGAUGGUUUCGGCUAUCACUUACAGAUGGGCCCGCGGUGCAUUAGCU